rnacentral:rRNA from 1 species
CUGGCGGCGUGCUUAACACAUGCAAGUCGAACGAACCUACGGGAUUAGUGGCGGACGGGUGAGUAACGCGUGAGAAUCUGCCCUCAGGAGGGGGAUAACGGCUGGAAACGGCCGCUAAUACCCCAUAUGCCGAGAGGUGAAAUGAAUUUCGCCUGAGGAUGAGCUCGCGUCUGAUCAGCUAGUUGGUAAGGUAAGAGCUUACCAAGGCAUCGAUCAGUAGCUGGUCUGAGAGGAUGAUCAGCCACACUGGGACUGAGACACGGCCCAGACUCCUACGGGAGGCAGCAGUGGGGAAUUUUCCGCAAUGGGCGAAAGCCUGACGGAGCAACGCCGCGUGAGGGAUGAAGGCCUCUGGGCUGUAAACCUCUUUUCUCAAGGAAGAAGACAUGACGGUACUUGAGGAAAAAGCCACGGCUAAUUCCGUGCCAGCAGCCGCGGUAAUACGGGAGUGGCAAGCGUUAUCCGGAAUUAUUGGGCGUAAAGCGUCCGCAGGCGGCCUUUUAAGUCUGUUGUUAAAGCGUGGAGCUCAACUCCAUUUCGGCAAUGGAAACUGGAAGGCUGGAGUGUGGUAGGGGGCAGAGGGAAUUCCCGGUGUAGCGGUGAAAUGCGUAAAUAUCGGG